GUCAUAAAAUGAGCCCAAGCACAGCUCCCAAGCAGAGAGAAGAAGCCCUGGCAGAGCUUCUCACAGCCCUUGUCAUAGCAGCCUGAGUCAGUGUCACCACUACCCCAAGUCUGCAGAUGGGGAGGGAAUAGAAUAAAUCCUGGAUGGAAGAGCAGACCUGCCCUUAAAAACAUAGAUUGACAGGGAAACAGAGACAGAUUUGCCCAGCAGGAAGAUGUCAGUUGGUGACAACAAUGCUACCUGAGGAGGGAGGUCUGCCCAGCUGAGAGUUCCCACAGGGCUUACUGGCAGCUCACCAUCAAGCAUAAAGUGUGGGGCUUUAAGAACAAUAAGAACCUAUAAAGAAUCUCUAAGAUUUCCAAAUGCCUCUUUCUCCAGCCAGCUCAGCCUUGAAAUUGCUAAGACCCAUUCCAGCAGCAAGGUAUGAAGCCAUAAAUAAGUUUGGUUUAUUACUGGUCUUAUGGUUAAUAAUUACUGCAGUUUGGGCAAACAGCAGUAGUAGGCCCCACUAACAAGUUCUGCCUGGGCUUGUGCUGAGUUUCUGCCAGUUCCCCGUACAGAUACUAAUAAAGCUCAUGAGGUAUUACAAUUGUCUCAUUCCUUCAAACAUUUAUUGAUUUAAAUCAUUUAGUUCUCAGUUGCAGCAGACACUGGGGAACUGAUGGUAAAUCAUACCAACUCUGGUACUUGAGUUGGCUGUAAAUUUACCACAUCUGGUAGAAUUGAGCUGGCUAUAAAUUCUUUUAGUGAUCCUAAAGCUUGGCUGGCUGUGGAAAAGACUGCAGGUGUUGUGCUGCCUUAUGUCUGAAGCCGUGCUGGGAGUCAGAGAGCCUUUCUGUGCUUAUUUCUCAUUUAGACUCAGUGUGGCAGAGCCCCUCCCAAGCAUUAGGGUUCUCCUGUGCCAUUCACUUUAAAAGAGCCCUACACCAACAAAAGGUGAGGGUCAAGAUCAACAUCAAACACAGCUUCAAUCUCCUCUCCAUCAGAAUUCCAUGCAGAGCAGCUCUGCGAGCAUUGGUUCCAUUCUGACUAAGAUUUACACCACGGUGCCUUCAGGAAUGUAAAAGUAAAUCUCAGCUCUGUGAAAUGUAACCUUACCUCCAGAUGCAUAAAUUUCCCACCUCCAGUGAAUGAAAUGAGAACAGGUGCUUGGAUAGAUGAUCAUAUGAAGCUGCUGGAUUCAAAUGAGACAGAGGAACUGUGAAGUCUCCCCCCCCUCAUGAAUUCUGUGUGAAGUGAUAGUUUAUCCUGGAGAAUCCCAUUGAACCAAUACAACUUCAUUACUUUGAGGCAGGUGUUGAAACCAUCUGAGAACGGGUGGUGAAGUGCAACCAUAAAAGCAGAUGAGAAAAGUGAUCUCCUCACCUCUCCUCCAUCCGAGAACAUGGGGCAGGACCAGCAGGGCAGAGCUAGCUUAAAUGAAUUUCUCGGUGAAGAUGCACCUAUUGGGUAGCGUUACCUGAAAAUACAGUGCAGCAUUCUAGACUCUCCUUUCCCAAAUCUGCAGCAUUAGAAACAUAACAAUCUCUUGCUUUUUGCUGAUCGCAAAAUGUUUCGGGGGGUCAAGGGUUUUUUGGUCUAGGUUUUAACUAGUCCAUCGGUCACUGUGCAUAUUUGGUCCUCCCUCAAACUGUGUUAGGAAUAAAGCAGUGUUAACCAUUCACAAGUAACGACGAAUUGAAAUUUGGGGGGUUGAGAAUGCAUUUUCUGUGAAAGAGAAGAAAUUUCUAUAGCCUGUCUUGUGCAAUAUUAUAAUAUCAAAUAAAGGCACAAAUCUGAUUCUAUUCUCCUUUAUUGGAUUUGGGU